ACCCCAUAACUUCUUCAUCCUCUUCACAAUCAGGGUAGAAGUAUGCAUACCUAGAGGAGACCAGGAAGGAUGUCAUCUGUAGAGUCUCAGGUCCCCAUCCAAAAGAUCUCUAGGGGGACACUGAUACCUGGAGAGGAAUCUAAGUCCAGCACCUAGAAAUCCUGUCUGCUCUCAGUAUUAUGAAUUCACCCUGAUACAGUAGGUGCUUCAAAUAUGUUUGUGCAGUGGGUGAUCACAAACAUCUCUAUCCAGACAUCCAAGUGCACACCAGGUCCCUUGGAUUACCCUCCACGGGUCUCCACUCUGGACACAUCUCUAUUCGGUACUCCAAUAGGAAUUCUAGAACCUCCUUUACAAUAGGAGAAGUGCUUUGGUCAAGGCUCAGAAAAACUGGGCCAAGGAUAGAGAGCUUCUUGAAGGUGCAGAGAACAUCCACACUCAAUAGAGUCUCAGCUCUGGACACACCAGUCCCUAAGGCCGAGCCUGGAGGAAGCACUUUCUGACUUCAUGCUGUUGGGUGAAUAGUCAACAACACUCUAGAAAAUAAGGAGGAUCAGAGGAAGGCAGAGAGCUUCCCAUAACCAGGAGAGGAUCUGAGGCCUCUGAGCUUGGAGACUCCUUCAGCUCUAUGCACCUAGGCAUUGCUGAUGUCACCUCCUUUAUUCUGAAAGUUUGCCAGUAAGAGAAGCAAUGCAGGGAAAGACACUGGAGAGUGAUCCAGACCCUAGGCUGGAGCCUACAGCAGCUCCUCCCACUUCCCAUCUUUCCCACUGGCUGCUGAGCCUCACCACUGCCCCCAUGUGGAGGAAAAGGACACAGCAGAUGAGAAUCCCAGUAGAAAAGUCA